rnacentral:lncRNA from 10 species
CCUGCCUCCUGCCUCCUGCCUCCUGCUUCUGCCUCUGCCUCUCCCCACGGUCUCCCUCUCCCUCUCUCUCCACGGUCUCCCUCUGAUGCCAAGCCGAAGCUGGACUGUACUGCCGCCAUCUCGGCUCACUGCAACCUCCCUGCCUGAUUCUCCUGCCUCAGCCUGCCUAGUGAUUGGGAUUGCAGGCGUGCACCGCCACGCCUGACUGGUUUUCGUAUUUUUUUGUUGGAGACGUGGUUUCGCUGUGUUGGCCGGGCUGGUCUCCAGCUCCUAACCGCAAGUGAUCUGCCAGCCUCGGCCUCCCGAGGUGCCGGGAUUGCAGACGGAGUCUGGUUCACUCAGUGCUCAAUGUUGCCCAGGCUGGAGUGCAGUGGCGUGAUCUCAGCUCGCUACAACCUCCACCUCCCAGCUGCCUGCCUUGGCCUCCCAAAGUGCUGAGAUUGCAGCCUCUGCCCGGCCGCCACCCCGUCUGGGAAGUGAGGAGCGUCUCUGCCUGGCCGCCCAUCGUCUGGGAUGUGAGGAGCCCCUCUGCCCGGCUGCCCAGUCUGGGAAGUGAGGAGCGCCUCUUCCCCGCCGCCAUCCGUCUAGGAAGUGAGGAGCAUCUCUGCCCGGCCGCCCAUCGUCUGAGAUGUGGGGAGCGCCUCUGCCCCGCCGCCCCGUCUGGGAUGUGAGGAGUGCCUCUGCCCGGCCGCGACCCCGUCUGGGAGGUGAGGAGCGCCUCUGCCCAGCCGCCCCGUCUGAGAAGUGAGGAGCCCCUCUGCCUGGCAGCCACCCCGUCUGAGAAGUGAGGAGCCCCUCCGCCCGGCAGCCGCCCCGUCUAGGAUGUGAGGAGCGUCUCCGCCCGGCAGCUGCCCCGUCCGGGAGGGAGGUGGGGGGCAGCCCCCGCCCGGCCGCCUCCCCGUCCAGGAGGUGGGGGGCGCCUCUGCCCGGCCGCCCCUUCUGGGAAGUGAGGAGCCCCUCUGCCCGGCCGCCACCCCGUCUGGGAGGUGUACCCAACAGCUCAUUGAGAACGGGCCAUGAUGACGAUGGCAGUUUUGUCGAAUAGAAAAGGGGGAAAUGUGGGGAAAAGAUAGAGAAAUCAGAUUGUUGCUGUGUCUGUGUAGAAAGAAGUAGACAUAGGAGAUUCCAUUUUGUUCUGUACUAAGAAAAAUUCUUCUGCCUUGGGAUGCUGUUAAUCUAUAACCUUACCCCCAACCCCGUGCUCUCUGAAACAUGUGCUGUGCCUACUCAGGGUUAAAUGGAUUAAGGGCGGUGCAAGAUGUGCUUUGUUAAACAGAUGCUUGAAGGCAGCAUGCUCCUUAAGAGUCAUCACCACUCCCUAAUCUCAAGUACCCAGGGACACAAACACUGUGGAAGGCCGCAGGGUCCUCUGCCUAGGAAAAACAGAGACCCUUGUUCACUUGUUUAUCUGCUGACCUUCCCUCCACUAUUGUCCUAUGACCCUGCCAAAUCCCCCUCCUCGAGAAACACCCAAGAAUGAUCAAUAAAUACUAAAAAAUAAAAAAAUAAAUAAAAAUAAAUAAAUAAAUAAAUAAAAGAGGAUCUAAAUAGAUGGAGAAAAAUACUAUGCUCUCAGACUGAAAGAAUCAAUAUUAUAAUCCAGGCAAAAUGGCUCAUGCCUGUAAUCCCAGCACUUUGGGAGGCUGAAGCAGGUAGAUUACUUGAUGUCAGCAGUUCAACAUCAGCUUGGCGAACAUGGUGAAAUAUCGUCUCUACUAAAAAUGCAAAAAUUGGCUGAGUGUUGUGGCAGGUCCCUGUAAUCUCAGCUACUCCGGAGGCUGAGGCAGGAGAAUCAAUCAAACCCAGGAGGCAUACAUUGCAGCAAGCCAAGACUGUGCCACGGCACUCCAGCGUGGGCAACAGAGUGAGACUCUGUCUCAAAAAAAAAAAAAAAAAAUCACUAUUAUAAAGAUGAUGACCAGGUGUGGUGGUGUGGGCCUGUAAUCUCAAUUAUUUGGAAGGCUGAGGCAGGGGGAUUGCUUGAGCCUAGGAGUUCAAGGCCAGCUUAAGCAACACAGCAAGGCCCUUUCUCUAAAAAUAAAAAUAAAUUAAAAAUAAACAAAUA